CUCCUGCCUCAGCCUCUUGAGCAGCUGGAACUACAGGUAUUAAUAACUUCAAAUCUGAGGCGUAGCUUGCAUGGAGAAUAAGUAUAAUACUCAUCUGGCAUUUUCCAGAAGGACAGGGGCUUCAUGCUGAAUGAGAAAUGUGAAUAACAAAGGAAUUAUAAAUGUAAAAACUUCCUUUUAAGCUCUUGCAAAUAAAAAAAUAAAAAUUCCUA